rnacentral:rRNA from 1 species
UUCUUGAAGAGUUUGAUUCUGGCUCAGUCUGAACGCUGGCGGCAUGGCUAAUGCAUGCAAGUCGAGCGAACCUUCGGGUUAGCGGCGAACGGGUUAGGAAUACAAUCGAAUGUGCCCUGAGGUGGGGGAUAGCUGCGGGAAACUGCAAGUAAUACCCCAUGUGCUCUACGGAGGAAAGGUUUACCGCCUUGGGAUCGGCGAUUGUCCUAUCAGGUAGUUGGUAAGGUCACGGCUUACCAAGCCUAAGACGGGUAGCGGAUGUGAGAGCAUGAUCCGCAACAUCGGGACUGAGACACUGCCCGGACUCCUACGGGAGGCUGCAGCGACGAAUCUUCCGCAAUGGGCGAAAGCCUGACGGAGCAAUGCCGCGUGUGGGAUGAAGCAGCUCUGCUGUGUAAACCACUGUCAGAUCUUAGGAACACUGACCAAGAUCAAAGGAAGGGCCGGCUAAACUCGUGCCAGCAGCCGCGGUAAUACGAGUGGCCCAAGCGUUAGACGGAAUUACUGGGCUUAAAGAGUUCGUAGGCGGACUCGCAGGCGUCUUGUGAAAUCCCACAGCUCAACUGUGGAACUGCAGGGCGAACCGCGGGUCUUGAGGCAAGUAGGGGCAGAUAGAACUGUGGGUGGAGCGGUGAAAUGCAUAGAUAUCCACAGGAACGCCAAUGGCGAAGGCAGUCUGCUGGGCUUGUUCUGACGCUGAGGAACGAAAGCGUGGGGAUCAAACAGGAUUAGAUACCCUGGUAGUCCACGCCGUAAACAAUGCGCACUAGGUCGUGGCGGUACUGAAGCCGUCGCGACCGUAGCAAAAGCGUUAAGUGCGCCGCCUGGGGAGUACGGUCGCAAGGCUAAAACUCAAAGAAAUUGA